UUGAUCACUGCCGAAAUAUUGACUGUGUUGAAAAAUCGAAUUGAUGAUUUGAUGGAUCAUUUUUCGUUUGUUGAAACUAAUUAAUUUUUAUUAAAAAUGUAUAAAAAUAGCGGCAAAUCAUCAUCCAGAAUUUCUAUUACUCGUAAACAAUAUAGAAUUCUGGAUGAAAGUACUAGAAAUCGAAGAAACCGGCAACAUAUUGAACAAUUAGAACGAGAUAAUUUUCAUGAAGAUCCACAUAGUAAUUUGGUGAUGCAUAAAAAAGCACCAAAAUUCGAAGAUCCUACCGCACUCAAUAAUAAUAGUAGUACAAAUAUCACUCCCAGACGUGUGAAUGCUUACCGAUCACGAAUAUUCACAUUAAGCACAUUGAUCGAAGAAAAUUCACGACUUUCAACGCCAAAUUAUUUAUCGAUCGCUACACGUUCGCUGAAUAAUUAUCCGAAAAGAAAACACAAUUCAAAUGAUGAUAAACGACAAUCACAAUUAUCUAGCACAUAUUUUCCGCAUAUUGAAAUUCCUUCGAUCAAACGGCAUUUUUGUAGUGUAUGUGGUUUUAAAAGUAGCUACACUUGUAUCAUAUGCGGUUUCCGUUAUUGUUCAUCGCAUUGUUUGCAGUUACAUGUCGAAACACGUUGUCUUAAAUGGACUGGAUGAAUAAUGAUAAUAUUUUAUAAUCUAAUCUAAUAUUUGUAUAAAAAUCUUAAUUCUAUAUUUUCUUUGUUUUUAAAUAAUAAAAAAUAAAUAAAUAACUAUAAUUUUGUCAUAAUUUUUUUUCCUGGGAAAUGUAUCGUAUCGUUUAUCAUGGAUAGACACACACACACACACGAGUUCAAUUAGACUCAUAUUUGUUUUGGAUUUUAUUCACACAACCGAUGGCAAAAUUGAUUUCGAAAAAAUCAAUAAAAAUGUGCAUUUUUUGUGGACACGAAAAUUUGUCAAUACUAUCACAGAAUGAUCAAUUUAUGUUAAUCAAAGAUAUCAAACCGGCAACAGCUCAUCAUUAUUUGGUCAUACCAAAAGAACAUUAUU